AACAAGUUCCUGGAAUGCAACUAUGCUCGAGAAUAUCUACCGGGAAGAUCUAAAGUCUGCUGAUCAGUUUCUUUGGAGUAUUCUCUCUCGGAAAUGAGUUCUGCAAACCACACAGGAAAGGUAAAUCGCACUGGGAAGAUUAUAUGUGACGGGUUUAACCAAGAAGAUGGUGUUGGCAAGAAUCGAAUUCGGAACUUUCUAGUACGAGAAUCAUGUUACACUCACUCGACUAUCCAUUUGAGGCGGACCAUUGUCAUUUUGAUGUGUGGUGUAUGGCAGUUCUUGUUGAUUAAGGCCCUAAUUCUUACAAAAUUUCUUUCUUUCACAUUGUGGCUCCCCAUAGUCCCUUUCCUUCUUGUAUUGACAGGUGAAAGGUGACUAGUUAGGAAUAAAAAAUUGUACUGAGGACCACUUUCUCCACAAGACUGGCAAGUUAAAUGAUGUGACGGGUUCUGAUAAGUUACUUUUUUUCACGUGAGAAAAAUGAGAAUCAGUACAUAGUAUUUUUCAUUUCAAAUUGGUUGUCACACUAGUUGUUUGCUCGCUUUUUAAGGAAUUAAAGUAAAUGCUAUAUGUUUUCCAAUUAUGCUCCUCACUUUUUGAAAUAAAAGUAAGAAAGAAAGCAAAACUCAUAGUUACUGCGGGUUUUUCUCGUAAUAACACAUAUACUUCGUAUUA